rnacentral:misc_RNA from 1 species
GAUAGAAGCUCUGUAUCAUCCAUAGCAUGAAGAUCUAAAAGGCCAGCUCCAAAAUCACCCCUAAAGUCAGGAGAAUAAAAACCAUCUGAUACAGCCAUACCAGCUGAAGUUUGGGCAGUUGGUGUAUAAGACUCAGAACCUGAUUCUCCAUUGAAGUUGAGGUUUCUCAUUAGCUUGAAAAGCCUCUGCUUUUCUUCAGCAGAUUGUGCUCCGUAACCCUGCAUUAGGAGAUUAGGAAGGAGACGGUGAUCGAUGCCCGUCGUAGCCAAGGGAGAGGCCAGAUGCUGCAAGCCC